rnacentral:rRNA from 1 species
UACGGGGGGGGCAAGCGUUGUUCGGAAUCACUGGGCGUAAAGGGCGUGUAGGCGGUCAGGUAAGUGAGACGUGAAAUGCCCCGGCUUACCCGGGGACCUGCGUCUCAUACUGCUUGGCUUGAGUACGGGAGAGGGUGUGGGAAUUCCUGGUGUAGCGGUGAAAUGCGUAGAUAUCAGGAGGAACACCGGUGGCGAAGGCGCACACCUGGCCCGAUACUGACGCUGAGGCGCGAAAGCUAGGGGAGCAAACGGG